ACCAGCAUGCUCACCGGAUUACAGUGGAUGAAUUCUGAUUUUGAAUGUUAGACAAGUUUGGGCCUGGUUGUAACCUGGAUGGGAGACCACCAGGGAAUUCUAGGCAGGGUU
rnacentral:rRNA from 1 species